rnacentral:lncRNA from 1 species
UGAUGUUGAAGGCCACUGAAGAAGGAACUAUCCACUCUACUUGGAGAGUCUGAAGACCAAAAGGAUGAUAAACUUUCAGAAAGUAUGCUCGUAAUUAAAUCUAACCUUACGAUUUAUUCUACUUCUAGUUAGAUAUUGGACUCUAGCUCAAGUGCUCAUAUAUGUACUUCAAUGCAAGGUCUAAUAGAAAAUAAGAGGUUGAGGAAAGAUGACAUUAUCCAUC